rnacentral:rRNA from 1 species
CGGCUUAAAUUUUGAUCUUGGCUCAAAUUGACCGCUGGCGGCGGGCCUAACACUUGCAAUUCGAGCGGUAGGGAAGCUUGCUUCUCACAACCGGCGAACGGGUGAGUAUUGUAUGGGGAUCUGCCCAAUAAAGGGGGAUACCUCCGGAAAACGGUACUAAUCCCCCAAAAUCUCUAAGGAGCAAACCAGUUCGUUGCCCUAUCGAAUAACCCCUUAUGGAAUUAUUUAUUUGGGGAGGUA